AACGAACGCUGGCGGCAUGCCUAACACAUGCAAGUCGAGCGAGACCUUCGGGUCUAGUGGCGCACGGGUGCGUAACGCGUGGGAACCUGCCCUUAGGUUCGGAAUAACUCCCCGAAAGGGGUGCUAAUACCGGAUAAUGUCUUCGGACCAAAGAUUUAUCGCCUUUGGAUGGGCCCGCGUUGGAUUAGCUAGUUGGUAGGGUAAAAGCCUACCAAGGCGACGAUCCAUAGCUGGUCUGAGAGGAUGAUCAGCCACACUGGGACUGGGACACGGCCCAGACUCCUACGGGAGGCAGCAGUGGGGAAUAUUGGACAAUGGGCGAAAGCCUGAUCCAGCAAUUCCGCGUUAGUGAUGAAGGCCUUAGGGUUGUAAAGCUCUUUUACCCGGGAUGAUAAUGACAGUACCGGGAGAAUAAGCUCCGGCUAACUCCGUG
rnacentral:rRNA from 1 species